rnacentral:rRNA from 1 species
CAACAGUUAUAGUUUAUUUGAUAAUCGAAAGUCAUAUGGAUAACCGUGACAAAUUACAGCUAAUACAUGCUGGCUUCGGCCUGUAAUUAUUAGAUAUUAUACCAAUCCUUCGGGUUGUGACGAAUCAUAGUAAUUGAACGAAUCGCAGUUUUUGCGAUAAAUCAUUCAAGUUUCUGCCCUAUCAGCUUUGGAUGGUAGUGUAUUGGACUACCAUGGCAAUCACGGGUAACGGAGAAUUAGGGUUCGAUUCCGGAGAGGGAGCCUGAGAAACGGCUACCAUUUCUAUGGAAAGCAGCAGGGACGAAAAUUGCCCAAUCCUGAUACAGGGAGGCAGUGACAAGAAAUAACAUCCCCAGGAAUUCUUGGGAGUGUAAUGAGGAUAAUUUACAAACCUUACCGAAAGCAAUUGGAGGGCAAGUCUGGUGCCAGCAGCCGCGGUAAUUCCAGCUCCAAUAGCGUAUAUUAAAGUUGUUGCAGUUAAAAAGCUCGUAGUUGAAAUUCUGGUUUUAAGGUUUUGUUAUUUUUGUGGCAAUUCGCUUAGAAUCAUCCGCAUGUAACCAUAUGCACUUCCUUUACCGGUUGACUAUGGAAACAUGCAUUUUACCUUGAGAAAAACAGAGUGUUCCAGGCAGGUUUGUCCGGAAUGCAUUAGCAUGGAAUAAUAGAAUAUGACUGAAGUCAAUUUAUUGGUUGUAGACAUCAGUAAUGAUUAAUAGGAACAGUCGGGGGCAUUAGUACUUGACAGUCAGAGGUGAAAUUCUUGGAUUUGUCAAAGACUAACUAAUGCGAAAGCAUUUGCCAAGGAUGUUUUCAUUAAUCAAGAACGAAAGUUAGGGGAUCAAAGACGAUCAGAUACCGUCCUAGUCUUAACUAUAAACUAUACCGACUCGGAUUCAGAUGAAUCGCAAAGUUCAUUUGGGACCGUAGGAGAAAUCAAAGUCUUUGGGUUCUGGGGGGAGUAUGGUCGCAAGGCUGAAACUUAAAGGAAUUGACGGUUUUGCACCACCAUGGAGUGGAGCCUGCGGCUUAAUUUGACUCAACACUGGGAAACUCAUCAGGGCAAGAAGAUUGUAGGAUUGACAGAUUGAGAGUUCUUUCUUGAUUGGUCUAGUGGUGGUGCAUGGCCGUUCUUAGUUGGUGGAGUGAUUUGUCUGGUUAAUUCCGUUAACGAACGAGACCUUAACCUGCUAACUAGUACUAUCAUUUCAAAUGGUCGUUACUUCUUAGAGGGACUAUGUGUUGUAAACACAUGGAAGUUUGAGGCAAUAACAGGUCUGUGAUGCCCUUAGAUGUCCUGAGCCGCACGCGUGCUACAAUGACACAUUCAACGAGCUUUACCGGAUCCGAAAGGACAAGGAAAUCUUUUUAGUGUGUGUCGUGUUAGGGAUAGAUCUUUGUAAUUAUGGAUCUUGAACGAGGAAUUCCUAGUAAGCGCAAGUCAUCAGCUUGUGCUGAUUACGUCCCUGCAAAAUGUACACACCGCCCGUCGCUUUUACCGAUUGAGUGCUCAGGUGAACCUUCUUGAUAGUUUCGACUAAAAAUUAAGUAAAUCUUAGCACUUAGAGGAAAAAGAAGUCGUAACAAGGUUUCAGUAGAACGAAAUAUAUUAAAUAAAUUAGAUAUUAAUUCUAAGGUAUUCAAUAUAUUUAAUGAUCUUUCUACAGGUUUGCCGCCACGAAAGCCUUUGCAACCAGUAAUGGUUCAGCUCAACGACUAAUAAAUAAAUAGAGUUGAUUAAAUGCAAGUUGGGUUUUCUUUGUUAAAAGAAAAACCAGCGAUCUCUUCAAACUGCGGGAAAAUCCUGAGAGCUGUUGACUACCGCGGCAACUGGUGACAGUUGUGCAGCAGUUAGGGUAGCGCCCUAAUGGAUGGUAAUAAGGUUAACAGAUUGGACAAUCCGCAACCAAGCCUCUUUAUUUUAAAGAGGAAGGCUCACAGACUGUAAGGAGAGAGGUCUUAUUUAUUAAGGCUUAAGAGACAGUCGGUCCCUGAGAGAAAUCUCAGUUCGAUGUGGAGGAAUCUACUGGGAGGAAAUGCCUGUAGAGGAGAGCCCUUCGAUAGUUAUGGAUAUGGCAAAUGUUCC